rnacentral:SRP_RNA from 1 species
UCGUGCUAGAUAGGGAGCUAGCGGUGCCCUGUAACCCGAAAUCCGCUUAUGCGGGAUUGAAAGUCCUUUAGGAGAAUCUCGAUUUGGGAUUGGACUUUAUUCGUUUUUUGGGGUGGAGUGGAUCUCAUGUGACAGACGCUUAUGAAACCCGUCAGGUCCGGAAGGAAGCAGCGGUAAGUAAGGCAGUCUGUGUCGUGAGCAAGUCUACCCUUUUCCCCUGGCGAUGAGGACAUUUCCAUUCAGGUUUGAAUAGGGAUGCACGA